AGAGCGCAGGGUGGAUGCCUUGGCACUAAGAGCCGAUGAAAGACGUGAUAAGCUGCGAAAAGCUUCGGGGAGGAGCAAAUAUCCAACGAUCCGGAGAUCUCUGAAUGGGGAAACCCGGCUGAGGAAACCUCAGUCAUCCAUACGCCAAUCCAUAACGUAUGGAAGGGAACCCGGUGAACUGAAACAUCUAAGUAGCCGGAGGAAGAGAAAGAAACAUCGAUUCCCAAAGUAGCGGCGAGCGAAAUGGGAAGAGCCCAAACCGGGAUGCGAGCAUCCCGGGGUUCGGACCGCGGAAGUGAUUCAACAAGUUUAGCAGAAUGGUUUUGGGAAAGCCAGCCAGAGAGGGUGAAAGCCCCGUAAGCGAAAGACGAGUUGACAUGGCGGGAUCCAGAGUACCACGAGACACGAGAAACCUUGUGGGAAAGAGCGGGGACCACCCCGUAAGGCUAAAUACUCCUUAGUGACCGAUAGCGCAUAGUACUGUGAAGGAAAGGUGAAAAGGACCCCGGGAGGGGAGUGAAAGAGAACCUGAAACCCUGUGUUUACAAGCUGUGGAAGAACUUUAUAGGUUCAACCGCGUACUUUUUGUAGAACGGUCCGGCGAGUUGCGCUGGCUGGCGAGGUUAAGCACGAAAGGUGUGGAGCCGAAGGGAAACCAAGUCUUAAUAGGGCGAGAAGUCAGACGGAGCAGACCCGAAACCGGGUGACCUAUCCAUGUCCAGGCUGAAGCUGCCGUAAAAGGCAAUGGAGGGCCGAACCCACAUCCGUUGAAAAGGGUGGGGAUGAGGUGUGGAUAGGGGAGAAAUUCCAAUCGAACCCGGAGAUAGCUGGUUCUCCUCGAAAUAGCUUUAGGGCUAGCCUCAUAAAAGUCUUGCGGAGGUAGAGCACUGAAUUUCCUAGGGGGCGUCAAAGCUUACCGAAGAAUAUCAAACUCCGAAUGCCGCGUAGAUGAUUUAUGGGAGUCAGACUGCACGAGAUAAGUUGGGCAGUCGAAAGGGAAAGAGCCCAGACCUGCAGCUAAGGUCCCAAAAUGUGUGUUAAGUGGAAAAGGAUGUGGGAUUUCAAAGACAACCAGGAUGUUGGCUUAGAAGCAGCCAUACAUUAAAAGAGUGCGUAAUAGCUCACUGGUCGAGAGGUCCUGCGCCGAAAAUGUCCGGGGCUGAAACACACUACCGAAGCUCAGGAAUCAGAACAUGAUUGGUAGAGGAGCAUUGCAUACGGGAAGAAGCAGUACCGAUAAGGAGCUGUGGACUGUAUGGAAGAGAGAAUGCCGGAAUGAGUAGCGAGAGGAAGGUGGGAAUCCUUCCGGCCGAAUAUCUAAGGUUUCCAGAGUAAAGCUGAUCUGCUCUGGGUAAGUCGGGGCCUAAGGCGAGGUCGAAAGACGUAGUCGAUGGACAACAGGUUGAAAUUCCUGUACCACGUAUAUACAGAACUGUGGGGACGCAGUGAGAGAGCACAACCGGGAAUGGAAAGCCCGGGGCAAGCGNGAAGAGUGUGAGCUAACUGCCAAGAAAAGCCGCUAUUGUUAUAUACGUGCCCGUACCGUAAACCGACACAGGUGGAUGAGGAGAGAAUCCUAAGGCCGACGGGAGAAGCAUUGUUAAGGAACUCGGCAAAAUGACUCCGUAACUUCGGGAGAAGGAGUGCCAGUGAGAGCUGGCCGCAGAGAAUAGGCCCAAGCAACUGUUUAGCAAAAACACAGGUCUAUGCAAAACCGAAAGGUGAAGUAUAUGGGCUGACGCCUGCCCGGUGCUGGAAGGUUAAGGGGAGAGGUUAGCCGCAAGGCGAAGCUUUGAACUUAAGCCCCAGUAAACGGCGGCCGUAACUAUAACGGUCCUAAGGUAGCGAAAUUCCUUGUCGGGUAAGUUCCGACCCGCACGAAAGGCGUAAUGAUUUGGGCACUGUCUCAACAAUGCACCCGGUGAAAUUGAAAUACCAGUGAAGAUGCUGGUUACCUGCGCCAGGACGGAAAGACCCCAUGGAGCUUUACUCCAGCUUGAUACUGGGAUUCGAUAUUGCAUGUACAGGAUAGGUGGGAGGCUAAGAAAUGGAGACGCCAGUCUUCAUGGAGCCGCUGUUGGGAUACCACUCUUGCAGUAUUGGGUUUCUAACCAGCAGCCGUGAACCGGCUGGGGGACAAUGUCAGGUGGGGAGUUUGACUGGGGCGGUCGCCUCCGAAAGGGUAUCGGAGGCGCUCAAAGGUUCCCUCAGAAUGGUUGGAAACCAUUCGGAGAGUGCAAAGGCAGAAGGGAGCUUGACUGCGACACCGACGGGUGGAGCAGGUACGAAAGUAGGACUUAGUGAUCCGGUGGUAUAAAGUGGGAUUGCCAUCGCUCAACGGAUAAAAGCUACCCUGGGGAUAACAGGCUUAUCACUCCCAAGAGUUCACAUCGACGGAGUGGUUUGGCACCUCGAUGUCGGCUCAUCGCAUCCUGGGGCUGAAGUAGGUCCCAAGGGUUGGGCUGUUCGCCCAUUAAAGCGGUACGCGAGCUGGGUUCAGAACGUCGUGAGACAGUUCGGUCCCUAUCCGGCGUGGGCGUAGGAUAUUUGAGAGGAGCUGUCCUUAGUACGAGAGGACCGGGAUGGACCGGCCGCUGGUGAAUCUGUUGUUCCGCCAGGAGCAUGGCAGAGUAGCCAAGCCGGGAAGGGAUAAACGCUGAAGGCAUCUAAGCGUGAAGCCCCCCUCAAGAUGAGAUAUCCCUACGUAAAGUAGUAAGACCCCUUGA
rnacentral:rRNA from 1 species